rnacentral:tRNA from 1 species
GGAGAGGUGACAGAGUGGCCGAAUGUGCACGCCUGGAGAGCGUGUGUGCUGGCAACGGCACCGAGGGUUCGAAUCCCUCCCUCUCCGCCA